rnacentral:rRNA from 1 species
GAUGUUGGCUCAGAAGCAGCCAUACAUUCAAAGAGUGCGUAACAGCUCACUGGUCGAGAGGUCCUGCGCCGAAAAUGUCCGGGGCUGAAACACGACACCGAAGCUUAGGAAUCACAUAGUGAUUGGUAGAGGAGCAUUCUUAAAACCGACGAAGCUGUACCGGUAAGGAGCAGUGGAGGGAUAAGAAGAGAGAAUGCCGGAAUGAGUAGCGAGAGGAAGGUGGGAAUCCUUCCGGCCGAAUAUCUAAGGUUUCCAGAGUAAAGCUGAUCUGCUCUGGGUAAGUCGGGGCCUAAGGCGAGGUCGAAAGACGUAGUCGAUGGAUAACAGGUUGAAAUUCCUGUACCGCAUAUAAACAGAACUGUGGGGACGCAUGUGGAAAGCAUAAGCCGGGAAUGGAAAUACCGGUACAAACGGAAGAGGUGUCAGGCUGGCAAAUCCGCCUGGCAAGCCAAAGACGUGAUGUGGAGCGAAAUAAAAGUAGCGAAGUAUGUGAGCCAUGUGCCGAGAAAAGCCGCUAUUGUUUUAUAUGUGCCCGUACCGUAAACCGACACAGGUGGAUGAGGAGAGAAUCCUAAGGCCGACGGAAGAAGCAUUGUUAAGGAACUCGGCAAAAUGACCCCGUAACUUCGGGAGAAGGGGUGCCCACUUCAGGGUGGGCCGCAGAGAAUAGGCUCAAGCAACUGUUUAGCAAAAACACAGGUCUAUGCGAAACCGAAAGGUGAGGUAUAUGGGCUGACGCCUGCCCGGUGCUGGAAGGUUAAGAGGAGAGGUUAGCGCAAGCGAAGCUUUGAAUUUAAGCCCCAGUAAACGGCGGCCGUAACUAUAACGGUCCUAAGGUAGCGAAAUUCCUUGUCGGGUAAGUUCCGACCCGCACGAAAGGCGUAAUGAUUUGAGCGCUGUCUCGACAAUGCACCCGGUGAAAUUGAAAUACCAGUGAAGAUGCUGGUUACCUGCGCCAGGACGGAAAGACCCCAUGGAGCUUUACUCCAGCUUGAUACUGGGAUUCGGUACUGCAUGUACAGGAUAGGUGGGAGACUGAGAACUAUGAACGCCAGUUUGUAGGGAGUCGCUGUUGGGAUACCACCCUUGCAGUAUUGGGUUUCUAACCAGCCGCUGUGAACCAGCGGUGGGACAAUGCCAGGCGGGGAGUUUGACUGGGGCGGUCGCCUCCGAAAGGGUAUCGGAGGCGCUCAAAGGUUCCCUCAGAAUGGUUGGAAACCAUUCGAAGAGUGCAAAGGCAGAAGGGAGCUUGACUGCGACACCGACGGGUGGAGCAGGUACGAAAGUAGGACUUAGUGAUCCGGUGGCAUAAAGUGGGAUUGCCAUCGCUCAACGGAUAAAAGCUACCCUGGGGAUAACAGGCUUAUCACUCCCAAGAGUUCACAUCGACGGAGUGGUUUGGCACCUCGAUGUCGGCUCAUCGCAUCCUGGGGCUGUAGCAGGUCCCAAGGGUUGGGCUGUUCGCCCAUUAAAGCGGUACGCGAGCUGGGUUCAGAACGUCGUGAGACAGUUCGGUCCCUAUCUGUCGUGGGCGCAGGAUAUUUGAUGGGAGCUGUCCCUAGUACGAGAGGACCGGGAUGGACGCACCUCUGGUGCACCAGUUGUCACGCCAGUGGCACAGCUGGGCAGCUAUGUGCGGAUCGGAUAAACGCUGAAAGCAUCUAAGCGUGAAGCCGACCCAAAGAUAAGAUAUCCCAUUGU